CCUACGGGUGGCAGCAGUGAGGAAUAUUGGUCAAUGGGCGCGAGCCUGAACCAGCCAAGUCGCGUGAGGGAAGACGGUCCUAUGGAUUGUAAACUUCUUUUGUCGGGGAGCAAAAGACUCCACGCGUGGCGUUCCGAGAGUACCCGAAGUAAAAGCAUCGGCUAACUUCGUUCCAGCAGCCGCGGCAAGACGGUGGAUGCGAGCGUAAUCCGGAUUUAUUGGGUUUAAAGGGUGCGCAGGCGGAAGAUCAAGUCAGCGGUAAAAUUGAGAGGCUCAACCUCUUCGAGCCGUUGAAACUGGUUUGCUUGAGUGAGUGAGAAGUAUGCGGAAUGCGUGGUGUAGCGGUGAAAUGCAUAGAUAUCACGCGGAACUCCGAUGGCGAAGGCAGCAUACCGGCGCUCAACUGACGCUCAUGCACGAAAGUGUGGGUAUCAAACAGGAUUAGAUACCCUAGUAGUC
rnacentral:rRNA from 1 species